rnacentral:pre_miRNA from 1 species
CAGUUACUCCCUCCGUUCCGAAUUACUCGUCACAGAAAUGAAUGUAUCUAGAUGUAUUUUAGUUCUAGAUACAUCCAUCUCUGCGACGAGUAAUUUGGAACGGAGGGAGUAGAUC